CUGCACUAUGCUCACAAUCGCCCACAGAAUCAACACGGUAUUGGAGAGUGACCGCAUACUAGUCAUGGACCAGGGCAAGGUGGUUGAGUUUGAUCCACCACAGGACCUGAUACAGAGGCCGAACUCUUUAUUUGCAUCACUUCUAGCAGCAGCAAAUCAAGUGAACUCGUGAAGCACUCACAUACUCAUAUAGACCUUCACACUGUUGCAAGAGUCUG